GUGGGACCCACCCAAAGAGAGAGACGGAGACAUCAGGAUGGACUCCAAUAGGGAAACGGAGCUCACCAAAGUGCAGCUGGAGGAUGAGGAUGAGGAGAAGAGGGACCCCGAAAACGAGACGACAGAAGGGAGGGGCUCCCCCAAGGACAGACCCCCCUCACACAGUGCCCCCACUUUCAUCCAGGAAAAUCAGCCAACAUCACAAAGCCAAGCAACCAAAGGACUGGAUCAGAACCAAGACUGCAGCCAGACUUCACAA